rnacentral:lncRNA from 1 species
ACGUGAGCUUGGAAGGAGACCUUUCCCCAGCUGAGUCUCAGCCUGGGCCAUCACCUGCAUCUGGACUGAAGACCCAAAGAAACUACUCCAUCAGGAAUUGUUUGAGACCAUGCAUUCUGUGGACACUCAUAUCGUGGAAUUAUAUUGCCAAUUGGCAUUCCUAAAGCUUCUACGCUAGCAGGUUUGGAGUAAUUCACCAGUGAAGUCUUCUCAACCUGGGCAAUCAUGUGAGCUUGGAAGAUGAUGCAUCCCCAUCUCAUCUUUCAGGUGAAACCUCAGCCUUGGCCAUCACCUACAUCUGGAUUUCUGACCCAGAGAAACUAGAAAGCAGUCAGGAGGUUAUUCGAGGAUGCUGGGCUCCCCUCACAAAUCUGUUUCUCAAAGUAUUGCAGAAAGGUGUGUCUUCUGGACACUCCCAGAGUAG